GCGGUGGAGCAUGUGGUUUAAUUCGAAGCAACGCGAAGAACCUUACCAGGUCUUGACAUCCCGAUGCUUAUUUCUAGAGAUAGAAAGUUACUUCGGUACAUCGGUGACAGGUGGUGCAUGGUUGUCGUCAGCUCGUGUCGUGAGAUGUUGGGUUAAGUCCCGCAACGAGCGCAACCCCUAUUGUUAGUUGCCAUCAUUCAGUUGGGCACUCUAGCGAGACUGCCGGUAAUAAACCGGAGGAAGGUGGGAUGGCGUCAAAUCAUCAUGCCCCUUAUGACCUGGGCUACACACGUGCUACAAUGGUUGGUACAACGAGUUGCGAGUCGGUGACAGCGAGCUAAUCUCUUAAAGCCAAUCUCAGUUCGGAUUGUAGGCUGCAACUCGCCUACAUGAAGUCGGAAUCGCUAGUAAUCGCGGAUCAGCACGCCGCGGUGAAUACGUUCCCGGGCCUU
rnacentral:rRNA from 1 species